rnacentral:rRNA from 1 species
UACGGAAGGCAGCAGUGGGGAAUAUUGCACAAUGGGCGCAAGCCUGAUGCAGCCAUGCCGCGUGUAUGAAGAAGGCCUUCGGGUUGUAAAGUACUUUCAGUCGUGAGGAAGGUGUUAAGGUUAAUAACCUUAGCAAUUGACGUUAGCGACAGAAGAAGCACCGGCUAACUCCGUGCCAGCAGCCGCGGUAAUACGGAGGGUGCGAGCGUUAAUCGGAAUUACUGGGCGUAAAGGGCACGCAGGCGGUUAAUUAAGUUGGAUGUGAAAUCCCCGGGCUUAACCUGGGAAUGGCAUUCAAGACUGGUUAGCUAGAGUCUUGUAGAGGGGGUAGAAUUCCAUGUGUAGCGGUGAAAUGCGUAGAGAUGUGGAGGAAUACCGGUGGCGAAGGCGGCCCCUGGGACAAAGACUGACGCUCAUGUGCGAAAGCGUGGGGAGCGAAACAGGGAUUUAGAUACC